GACGAACGCUGGCGGCGUGCUUAACACAUGCAAGUCGAACGGUAAGGCCUUUCGGGGUACACGAGUGGCGAACGGGUGAGUAACACGUGGGUGAUCUGCCCUGCACUUCGGGAUAAGCCCGGGAAACUGGGUCUAAUACCGGAUAGGACUGCGCGGUGCAUGCCGUGUGGUGGAAAGAUUUAUCGGUGCAGGAUGGGCCCGCGGCCUAUCAGCUUGUUGGUGGGGUAAUGGCCUACCAAGGCGACGACGGGUAGCCGGCCUGAGAGGGCGACCGGCCACACUGGGACUGAGACACGGCCCAGACUCCUACGGGAGGCAGCAGUGGGGAAUAUUGCACAAUGGGCGCAAGCCUGAUGCAGCGACGCCGCGUGAGGGAUGACGGCCUUCGGGUUGUAAACCUCUUUCAGCAGGGACGAAGCGUGAGUGACAGUACCUGCAGAAGAAGCACCGGCCAACUACGUG
rnacentral:rRNA from 1 species